rnacentral:rRNA from 1 species
CCAGACUCCUACGGGAGGCAGCAGUGGGGGAUAUUGCACAAUGGGGGAAACCCUGAUGCAGCGACGCCGCGUGGGCGAAGAAGUAUUUCGGUAUGUAAAGCCCUAUCAGCAGGGAAGAAGAAAUGACGGUACCUGAGUAAGAAGCACCGGCUAAAUACGUGCCAGCAGCCGCGGUAAUACGUAGGGGGCAAGCGUUAUCCGGAUUUACUGGGUGUAAAGGGGGCGCAGACGGCAAUGCAAGCCAGGAGUGAAAGCCCGGGGCCCAACCCCGGGACUGCUCUUGGAACUGCAUGGCUGGAGUACAGGAGGGGCAGGCGGAAUUCCUAGUGUAGCGGUGAAAUGCGUAGAUAUUAGGAGGAACACCGGUGGCGAAGGCGGCUUGCUGGACGAAAACUGACGUUGAGGCUCGAAAGCGUGGGGAGCAAACAGGAUUAGAUACCCCCGUAAAA